rnacentral:rRNA from 1 species
UACAGAGGGUGCAAGCGUUACUCGGAAUUACUGGGCGUAAAGCGUGCGUAGACGGUUAUUUAAGUCGGGUGUGAAAGCCCCGGGCUCAACCUGGGAAUUGCAUUCGAGACUGCAUAGCUAGGGUGCGGAAGAGGGAAGCGGAAUUUCCGGUGUAGCGGUGAAAUGCGUAGAUAUCGGAAGGAACACCAGUGGCGAAAGCGGCUUCCUGGUCCAGCACCGACGUUCAGGCACGAAAGCGUGGGGAGCAAACAGG